GACGAACGCUGGCGGCGGGCUUAACACAUGCAAGUCGAACGGAAAGGCCCUGCUUUUGUGGGGUGCUCGAGUGGCGAACGGGUGAGUAACACGUGAGUAACCUGCCCUUGACUUUGGGAUAACUUCAGGAAACUGGGGCUAAUACCGGAUAGGAGCUCCUGCUGCAUGGUGGGGGUUGGAAAGUUUCGGCGGUUGGGGAUGGACGCGCGGCUUAUCAGCUUGUUGGUGGGGUAGUGGCUUACCAAGGCUUUGACGGGUAGCCGGCCUGAGAGGGUGACCGGCCACCUUGGGCCUGCGGUACGGCCCAGACUCCUACGGGAGGCAGCAGUGGGGAAUAUUGCACAAUGGGCGGAAGCCUGAUGCAGCAACGCCGCGUUCGUGAUGACGGCCUUCGGGUUGUAAACCGCUUUCGCCUGUGACGAAGCGUGAGUGACGGUAAUGGGUAAAGAAGCACCGGCUAACUACGUG
rnacentral:rRNA from 1 species